GUGAGCCUAGUGAUAGGAGACUAUCUAGCUUGGUUCGGAGAGAACUUGUUGGGUAAAUUUUUUUUUUUUUUUUGCUAAAUGUUACGUCCUAAAUGCUGAACUAUUGACCCUAC
rfam:Cephalotus follicularis DNA, scaffold: scaffold8349, isolate: St1.